rnacentral:rRNA from 1 species
UACGGGGGGGGCAAGCGUUGUUCGGAAUUACUGGGCGUAAAGGGCUCGUAGGUGGCCAACUAAGUCAGACGUGAAAUCCCUCAGCUUAACUGGGGAACUGCGUCUGAUACUGGAUGGCUUGAGUUUGGGAGAGGGAUGCGGAAUUCCAGGUGUAGCGGUGAAAUGCGUAGAUAUCGGAAGGAACAUCAGUGGCGAAAGCGACUUCCUGGACCAAUACUGACGCUCAUGUGCGAAAGCGUGGGGAGCAAACAGG